GACGAACGCUGGCGGCGUGCUUAACACAUGCAAGUCGAACGGAAAGGCCCUGCUUUUGUGGGGUGCUCGAGUGGCGAACGGGUGAGUAACACGUGAGUAACCUGCCCUUGACUUUGGGAUAACUUCAGGAAACUGGGGCUAAUACCGGAUAGGAGCUCCUGCUGCAUGGUGGGGGUUGGAAAGUUUGGGCGGUUGGGGAUGGACUCGCGGCUUAUCAGCUUGUUGGUGGGGUAGUGGCUUACCAAGGCUUUGACGGGUAGCCGGCCUGAGAGGGUGACCGGCCACAUUGGGACUGAGAUACGGCCCAGACUCCUACGGGAGGCAGAAGUGGGGAAUAUUGCACAAUGGGCGGAAGCCUGAUGCAGCAACGCCGCGUGCGGGAUGACGGCCUUCGGGUUGUAAACCGCUUUCGCCUGUGACGAAGCGUGAGUGACGGUAAUGGGUAAAGAAGCACCGGCUAACUACGUG
rnacentral:rRNA from 1 species